CAACGUCAUCACUGAGUACACGAGUUCAGUGAAGUUUGACCUCACCAGUGAGCCGCAGAAAGAGUUGGACACCACCCAGGAGCCGGAUUCAAACGGGUCGCUGACCGUCGAUCUUCUAAGGGGAGCCGCAGAGGGGCCGACUUUAUGGACCGUCACCACCCCGAACGGAGAGCAGGAGCUCCACAGGGAUGACGCCAGGUUAAAGGACUCCGGAGGCAAAGAGAUAGCAGAUUAUGAUCGUGAAGGCGCAUCAUCCCUGCAAAUGAAUCUGACAGUAGUCAACUCAACAUUCAAUUCUACAACUACACAGGAGACGGUUGCAGGUUUGCCGGAUACCGUGGCGGAGACCGUUGUCCUCAUUCAGGAUUCACUGAAGAAGACCUCUGGACAAAAGAAGAAGAACAGGGAACGUGGGAAGGCAAGUGAUGGGGACAAGCAAGAAGAAGAGGAAGAAGAGGAGUUUUAUAACAGCGAAGAAUACAGUUAUGAAUACGAGGUAGGCAGCCGCUCCGACGAAUGACUAAUUCAUGAACUGUGGGAAACUUCAGUUUAAAGUGUUGAUUGAUGACGUGGGGUUGUUACGGAUUUGGAGCGUUGUCAUGGUGGGUGGCUUCUUAAUAACAGACCUGUCAUGAUCAAAUCUGGAUGUUUUUUAAUAGCAUCAUCCCAUUUGUGCCCACACUCAACCCUGGACAGUUGAUUAAUGACACACCCACUACCUGAAUUAAUCAUUAAGAAUAAAUUAGUUUGUCAUUACAGUUUAGUGCAUCUGCUCUUCACAUCAGCCACUGGAGUCUCUGUAGUUUUACAUGUUUAAGGUUUUACAUGUUUAAAAGUUAUAAUGGUAUUUUUCUUUUUUUUUUUUUAAACAGGAAGAACUUUCCCCAUCUGACUCUUCGGGUCACCAGGAGAAGAACAACAGCAAAAAGGUGCAUUUGCUUCAACUGGAUUGGGAAUAAUAAAUUUCACAGAUCACCAGGCAGAUGAAAUCCCCUUUCCAGUAGAUAAAAAGACGAUGGAUUAUUAAUCUGUAGCCCAGAUAAUAACAAAAUGUAAUUCACUUGCAAGACUGCACUCUGAUAAAAGGGAAGCGGAGGCAGCCGAGCUCAGCUGGGAGGAAUAAUGACAUAUUCACGCUGGUUUUAUUUUCUGUAGGAGGAACAAUUGCCCACACCCCGUCCUGCUCAGACAGAAACAUUGGUGGGAGCCUCCAGUCAUCCGCCAACAUCCUCUGCAGACAGACACAUAGAUGCAGAGGUGAAACUGCACAUUUCUGUGUUUCUUACGUAUUUUCUUUAAAAUAUGCCUGUUGUGAAAUUCUCCACACAUGCUAAUAUGUUUUGCGUGCUUUAGACCGGUCAGGCGAGGGAUACCUCUCCUAAAUAAAGACCAUAUCAUUUUUAUUCUCAAGCUGCAACCGCUUUAAAUGUUUAAAAAUGAUUGCUUAUGAUCCCUGAAAUAAGUAAGUGAGCUUUGAUUGUGUAUAGUAUCAAUGUUCUUUAGAUUUUUUUUGUCAACCUGUCGGUUGUCUCGACAACCACAACACCACUAUGGGUGAUAAAGAAAAGGCAGCUGGCCCGGUUGGUAUCACAUAUAGAAUUUCUAAUCAACAGAGUGCUUUGUUUUUCAAGGCGCUGUUGUCACUUUCACGCUCUAAAUCUAUCCUUAAUUGUCACGACCAGGAUGAAGUGUCACUUCCCACACCGCCCGUCACAACAGAAGAACCAGACGAGGUACAGCUUUGAUUUGAAAGGCUUGAAUAUUAACCGAAUGUGUCUGAAGAUUCUUGCAUGCCUCGGAAUGCAAAUCUAUUUCAUUAACACUAAACUUGAGACACCCGGAAAUGAUGGAGAAGUGCUUUGAAGAAAUGAAGGACGGGCUUCACUUUCUCCCUGUCUUAAUAUAAAGAAUAAGCUUAAACGAACCAUGCUUUAGGUCAAAUGCAAUGGCAUCAUAUUUCAUAUUUCAACACUAGUUUCUUCUCUUUCCUCUGAAAAUUUCACCAGUGCAAAAAAACGUUUGACUAAGGCUAAUUUGAAUACAGCAGGAAUGGAAAUAUAAUAUCGCAGGCAUUGCCGAAGCAUGAGACAAGAGAGCAUUUCUGAGCGGCAUGCUUUUAGCAUGAUUUCUUUACCUUGCCUGAGUGGGAAUGAGCAGAAAUAGUGUCCGUGUCCAACUAUUCAAGAAUGAUCUACUGGCAAAGACACAACUCCAGAGAGUUAUACUUGUAAUACUUUCUCUGUCUAAUUUUAACAGGAUGUCUCUUAAGUCCCAAGACAUUGUGACGAUAGGGUGAUAAGCAUUCAUAAGAAAGGCCACACUGCACCGAACGUGUGAAUAAACUGAAGUGUUUUGCUGGUGAGGAGCCCUCAACCUGACCAACACGAGGAAGGACUUCUUUCCACACAGAGACCAUGUCACCCAAUCAAACAUAUUGCCAUUGCGAAGUUCAUAUCUUUAUUUUGAGCAGAGAUGUGUAGAAAAUCAGGCACUGUUGAAUGUUCCAUAUAUUUUGUUUUCUUCAUUUUGUGCAAUGUAAACCUCAGUGUAGCCUACAUCUUGUCUACAACUCAAUUUAUUUAUUCAGACAAAUAUUUCUCUGUAAUGAAUCGGGUUAAACACAAAGGUUAUGCCACCAAAUUCAAUAUAUCUCCUUUUGACAAGUUGUACGGGAAUUUUAUUUAUUGAAACUUGGAAUAUGUUGUGUGUUUACUUCACUUUUGAACGCCAACAAUGUGUAGUGGCACUAUAAUCUUAUCUGUAUCCAGGUCAUACACUCUUUUCACUGGUGAAAUUUUCUCUGUGUUUAACUUUGCUGUGCAUGAAUCUUCAGUAAAAGAAUAUUUGAAUAACUUCCCGAGGCAAUUUGUGUCUUCUUUUUUUGAACCAUAAGAAUACACAUCACCACAGAUGGUUGAAAGGAUGAUUUUGCUUGGUUUUCUCUUCGCUUUGGGGGGCUUUGACAGGUACCUCGAUUCCGAAUCAGGGUGAAGAAAAGUGUACCGUGGCCCAAAAACAUGGUAAGCGUGUCUUGUU
ensembl:lncRNA